AAUGGCUGCAGUAAUUUGACUGUACAAAGGUAGCAUAAUCAUUAGUUUUUUAAUUAAAAGCUUGAAUGAAGGGUUGAACGAAGUAAAAUCUGUCUCUUUAUAAUAUAAUUAGAAUUUAAUUUUUAAGUUAAAAAGCUUAAAUUUUUUUAAAAGACGAGAAGACCCUAUAGAGUUUUAUAAUUUUUAAAAAAUAAUUAAUUAAGAUUUAUUUUUUUUAUUUUUUAAAAAUUAUUUUAUUGGGGUAAUAAUAAGAUUUAAUUAAUUCUUUUUUUUUAACCAUUAAUUUAUGAAAUAUAUGAUCCAUUAUUUUUAUGAUUAUAAG
rnacentral:rRNA from 1 species